CAGCAGUGGGGAAUAUUGCACAAUGGGCGCAAGCCUGAUGCAGCGACGCCGCGUGCGGGAUGGAGGCCUUCGGGUUGUAAACCGCUUUUGUUCAAGGGCAAGGCACGGUCUUUGGCCGUGUUGAGUGGAUUGUUCGAAUAAGCACCGGCUAACUACGUGCCAGCAGCCGCGGUAAUACGUAGGGUGCAAGCGUUAUCCGGAUUUAUUGGGCGUAAAGGGCUCGUAGGCGGUUCGUCGCGUCCGGUGUGAAAGUCCAUCGCUUAACGGUGGAUCCGCGCCGGGUACGGGCGGGCUUGAGUGCGGUAGGGGAGACUGGAAUUCCCGGUGUAACGGUGGAAUGUGUAGAUAUCGGGAAGAACACCAAUGGCGAAGGCAGGUCUCUGGGCCGUUACUGACGCUGAGGAGCGAAAGCGUGGGGAGCGAACAGGAUUAGA
rnacentral:rRNA from 1 species